UUCAUAUAGUUUAAAUAAAAACAAUUUAUUUUCGUUAAAAAAAAAUCAUUAAAGAUUAUGAAU
rnacentral:tRNA from 1 species